ACGAGAAAGAGGGAGCGAGAUCGGUGCACCGCUCCCUUAUAAAUACCGACCUCCGUUGCCGUUUCUCAUCUCCCUCCCACCCCUCCCCCCACCUCAUCAUUUGAUCGCUGCCUCCUUCGCUUCCUCUGGUUGUUCUCCUUCGGCAUCUCGAGACUCCUGGGUUCCAUCCCCUCCUCAUCUUUGCCGAAUUUUCUUGUUUCGUUUGAUGGAUUCUCUUCUGAUCUCUUUGUCUUCUGAUGUAUGAUUGUUAAGUCUUGGACAUGUUUCUGGAUUCUUCACAUCAAAGUGUGUUUUCUUCUUUUUCUGGCAGGAUUACCGAGUUUGGGUUGAAGAUUCGGUGCAGAGGCAAAAGGAUCGCACUGCUCGAUCUCGGAGGCCGACAACUUCGACCUGGAAGCCGUUCGAUGAUCGGUCACUAGGCGAGAUCUCGACGACGGCAAAUCUCAGGCCGGUCGGUAGCUGUGGAAGCAUGUACUCCUCGGGCGCGGGGCGAUCGUUGCUGGACACGCCAGCCUCAUCGAAUCGGGAUUCGUUGAAGCCACACGCGAUGGUUCGAUCGGUAGUUUUCUUCCGAGGGCUGCCGGUGGGGGCAUGAUAGCACAUGAGAUCAUGCCUCGAAGGAGGCUUUUGAUUAUGAUCAGUUACUCUUGCUUGCCCUCCUGCGGCUCCUCUUCAUCGUCAGGCCAGCUGAAGCCUGCAUCGAAAGCUGAUGAUGGUGGAACCCUUGCCAUCCUGACGAUCUGAGUUAUAUCUGCCACACUCUGAAGGGAAUAGGUGGGCAUGUUGUCAUCCUUCUUGCGGGUUGGCCACAAAGAUCCGAGAGAGAAGAUGCCUGCAGUCCUGGGAGAGAUGAACAUAUUCGGGCCCCACAAUGUCUUCAAAAUAUCCACAAAACCAGUCUGAAGAGAAUCAAUUUAUGGUGCUCACCUUUCCAUCGUACUCUCGCUGGGAGAGGACCUCAGGAGCAAUGUAUGCAGGGCUUCCCACCGUCGAUUUCGGCCGCGAGUGAAGCACAGAUGACUAAAUUCUCCGCACAAAAAGUCGCAGAUCUUGAGUCGAGGUGCCGGGCUGCCAUCAAGCAGAGUGUUCUCCAUCUUCAGGUCUCGAUGGCAAAUUUGCUUGGCAGUAGCUGACGCCGCAGAUGAGCUGCUGAAAGAAGUACCUCGCCUAGAGAUGCAGCAACAGAGCUUUAGAGCAGAAUCAACAAGGAAGAAGAUGAAGGGAGGGGUAAUACCUCGUCCUCGCUGAAUCUUCCCGUCACGCAGAUCCGCUCGAAGAGCUCUCCACCGGCGGCGUACUCCAUGACGAUCCCCAGAUGCGUGGGCGUGAGCACAACCUACAACGACGGAACAAGAGAUCAAGGAACCGAUCUUUUUAGUUCCUCAAGAGGUACGUCGACGAAUCAUGAAACCCUAAGCAGACGCGACGAGGAGCCAAAGCCCACCUCCUUGAAUCUGAUAAUAUUGGGAUGCCGAAGCGACCGGUGAUUGAUGAUCUCCCUCGCCACCUUCUCAUCGAUCUAACCCCUCGCAAAGAAUUCAAGAAACAAGAAACACGAUAGUGCUCCGUUCAGAA